rnacentral:rRNA from 1 species
AUACGGAGGAUCCGAGCGUUAUCCGGAUUUAUUGGGUUUAAAGGGUGCGCAGGCGGGAGAUUAAGUCGGCGGUGAAAUUUUGCAGCUCAACAGUAAAAGUGCCUUCGAAACUGGUUUCCUUGAGUGUAGAUGAAGUAGGCGGAAUUUGUGGUGUAGCGGUGAAAUGCAUAGAUAUCACGAGGAACUCCGAUUGCGCAGGCAGCUUACUAAACUACUACUGACGCUCAGGCACGAAGGCGUGGGGAUCAAACAGGAUUAGAUACCCUGGUAGUCCACGCAGUAAACGAUGAUUACUAGCUGUUUGCGAUACAAUGUAAGCGGCUGAGCGAAAGCGUUAAGUAAUCCACCUGGGGAGUACGUUCGCAAGAAUGAAACUCAAAGGAAUUGACGGGG